GGAGAGUUGGCAGAGUGGUCUAAUGCGGCAGUCUUGAAAACUGUUGUCCCGCAAGGGACCGGGGGUUCGAAUCCCUCACUCUCCGCCA
rnacentral:tRNA from 3 species